UACGUAGGGGGCAAGCGUUGUCCGGAUUUACUGGGCGUAAAGAGCGUGUAGGCGGCCACGCAGGUCCGUUGUGAAAACUGGAGGCUCAACCUUCAGACGUCGACGGAAACCGUGUGGCUAGAGUCCGGAAGAGGAGAGUGGAAUUCCUGGUGUAGCGGUGAAAUGCGCAGAUAUCAGGAAGAACACCAAUGGCGAAGGCAGCUCUCUGGGACGGUACUGACGCUGAGGAGCGAAAGCGUGGGGAGCGAACAGG
rnacentral:rRNA from 1 species